rfam:Gossypium arboreum cultivar AKA8401 contig_49184_1, whole genome shotgun sequence.
AAUAAGAGCAUGACAAAUUAGAUUUUUCCUCUUGUUUUUCAGAUUUUUUCUCUUGAAAAAAAUUCAAAUCCAACUAAAAAUGCAAAAAAUCAGGAGAAAAAAAUCUUAUUUGUCAUGCUCCUAUU